GUGGACUGUUAACCAUUAAACUGGUUAUCCGCGAGGCACAGAAAAACACGGCUCCUGUGGGUCCAAAUCAGAUAUUGCCUCCUCCCGCCCUCACCAAGAACCCAGGUACCAGGGAGACUUUGAA